GGACCGCGGGGACGGGAGAGCCUCAGCACCGCUCUAGCGGAGGCAGCAACAUCAAGAGUUAACCAGAAAGUGAAACUGAAUGACCGGCUUCAGAAUUUCUCGGAAAUCAUUUGAGAAGACACUCCCUAGAUCGGUUUUCCUGCUGUGCUUUGCCCCUCAGAGCUCAGUACACACAGGACAGGCUGGUGUGGGUGCCGCGGUCCCGCGGGACCGGGAUUAGAGCGGACUGAUCGCAGCUCUCCCUGCCGCCCAGCCCACCAUGUGGUCCGGUAUUAUCGCCUUUGUAGUCGUCACUGCAUGUGCAUUUAUAGUACUGAGAUUGAGUCGCAAUCGGAUGGGUGCAUGAAUGCUGAGGGUGCACGUUUCCACGCUGGGGCAGCAUAAAUGGCCUCACUCUGCCCUUCGAGCAGAAACUGCAUGCUGGCACAGAAACAGCUCCCUAUGUUCAGUGCAAGGGAGCAAAAGCAAGAUUCCUUCCUUCCAAGCACACGGAUUGAAAUGGCCGGCGCUGGAAAGUCCAAUCCCUCCCACAGCUUCUGCUUUAAAUGAUUUGGCAUUAAGCAAUAAAUAAGCAAUAAAUGAACAGUGA